rnacentral:tRNA from 1 species
CGGCGUAGCUCAGCUGGCUAGAGCGUACGGUUCAUACCCGUAAGGUCGGGGUUAAGCCCCUCCGCCGCUA